UUUAACGGAAAUCAAACCUAUUGUAAACCUAUCAACCAGAGCUCAGCAAGCUGAAAACUAAUUGAAGGUCGACAGAGGCAAGAUCCGUAGCAAAGCAUCCGCUGCAAUCCUCAGUCCCCGUCACGCCAUCUAAAGUAGGCUAUAACACUCCCGAAGGAGCCACAUCCCUCCAGCCUUUUUAUGACGUUCGAAAUUGAUGUUAACCAGCGGACACGAAAGUGCUCCCCCUCAUCGUGAGACACAUGCUGUGGCGGUUUUGAGGCUCGCCACAACAUGGGUCUCCCGACGA
rnacentral:rRNA from 1 species